GACCUGAGGGCGCUGGGCAGCUGGUACCCGCGGCGGGAGUGGGAAUCGCAGGGUCCUCGGUGGCCGCCGCGAGCUGGGAAGGUUUCCGUCACUACCUGGGAUCCCUGCACCGAGCUUUGGAAUCCAGUUUCAUUUAAUAUUUGCCCUCUUCUUUUCCAGCUGUCUCUUCCAGUUUGAGCAAUUUGUGAUGUCCCAGGGAGUAGCUGUCUUGGCCUCUAGACUGCCUUCCUUGGGCCCCAGUCUCCUCUCUUCCCUCCAUGACUUCUACAACCACGGAUGCCACACUUCCUAAAAACAGAGCGAUAAAUUGACCACCACACAUCUCUUGUGCACCUUGCAGACAGGCAAACAAUGGGAAAAAAGUGUGAAGAUGACCCAGUGAAUAAAGUGUUUGCACUUCUCCCACAAGUCUGAAGGUGUGAGUUUGGAACCCCACAUGAAAAGGGACAGGGUAGAGCCCGUCUGAAAUCUGGGACCAAUGGCGGGAGGCGGGGGGCGUGGAAGUUCCUAGGCCAGCAGCAAGUCUAGGGUUGGGAUGGGGGGGCAAGAGAGCAAAUCUCAAACAAAGUAAAAGGAAGGUCUGAGGUUGUCUGCUCACCUCCAAACACAAGCUAUGACACACACACAUGUAUGCACAGCUGCUCGCACGUGCACACGUAUACACACAAACACACACACACACACACACACACACAUCAUGCAUGUAGAGAUAACGAGUUAAGAAGGUUGUUGGAAGUCAGCUCCAGAGCACAGAGCCUUGGGCAGUCAGGCCUGUCUUCCAGCUUACUGUCCCAAAGAGGAAUUAACGUUUUUCCUUACAUUUAACCUUAUAAAAAUCGACACACAUAGAGCAGAGUUACCCGUAGGAAAAACCACAUCUGGAUUUCAUAGCUUCGGUUUUAAAGCCUACCUUUCUUAGAAAAUAAAAUGGCAUCUGUGUAAUUGGAGCGUGGAUUGAGGGCCUCAAUUGGGGUUUUGCCUUCUGUUUCACAGGCAAAGUAUGGUUUACCAGUCUGUUCUUUGUGGAGUACACUACCCCUGCUAGUGUUCUCUCUUUCUCUUGUCAUCCUUGUUGCCACAGACACGCGUAUAACUGGGAUUUCCGCGUCCCAAACUCAUUCCUGAAAUGCAUCCCGAUCCUCCAUCUCUGCCAGGCCAGACCCUAACUGCAUCUUCCACAGAUUCCUGUCACCCUCUGUCUCAGAUAUUAACGCUAGAGAGAAGAGCGGCCAGCAACCCUGUCAGGACUUCCUGAUCACCUUUUCUCUGCCUUCUGUUCCUCUCAGCACAAAGGAACCGGAGCACACAUGUCCUCUCCCAGGCUUGCUCCACCGCCACACUGGAAAGCUCACUCCCAGGCAUGCUCCACCGCCACACUGGAAAGCUCACUCCCAGGCAUGCUCCACCGCCACACUGGAAAGCUCACAGUGGCCGCCUAAUCCUCCUUUGUCACCUCCAGUCCCAUCAAGUAAACACAUUGAUUUGUGGCUAAAGAAUUCAGAUUGCUUCAUUUCAAAGGCUGCUGUGGCUGAGAAGCAGAAUCCUCACGAGAACCCCAGCAAACUGGAGAAAGGGAAUCUCUGCUAGCGCGGAGAUGGUUGGCAGAGUAGAGGGCCAUGGGCACACCUACAUCCACAUCUCUUCAGGGUCCCUGGUAAUUUCUCUGCACACGUUUGACUUCAUGGUGACUUGUGGAAUCAUUUUACAUCACGUUUUGCUAAACGGGUUUGUAGCAUUUGAUUUGGAAACACAACCAAUAUGUAUAUUAUGUUUACAGCUACCAACAUAAAUGUAUAAAAUAACUUCUGGGUAAGGGCCAUUAACGAGUCAAAUAGUGCCUGUAUUUUAAAAAGCUUACAGCUUUCAAACAGAAGGUGUAAAAACACUGUUUACUUUUACAACCCCACGUACAAAAAGCGUAUUAGGAAAACAGUGGGUAUUACUCACCCAUAUUUUAAAAAAUCAAUAUCAGGGCCUGCCUUGGGGCUCUGGGAGAUCUGAAACUAAAAGGCAUUGUCAGUGAAAAUACAGUUACACGAAUCCAUAAUGUUUAACUAAAAACUUAAAUAGGAAUAAUAAAGCAGUGAUGUGGAGUGUAAGUGAGGAAUCAUCAUAAUUGACAGUAUGGUUGGGGCAGAAGCCUGUUGUCUGGAAGUCUGGCGAUGGAGGUCUGUGCCUCUUCCCUGUAUCAGUCUCUGUCUUCUUUGCUCGCCCUAAGCCAUGAUGGCAUAGAAGAUCAAAGACAGGCACGCCAGUGCAGAUGACCUGCAGACUUUAAACAGCCGGCUCAAGGGGGACGAGAAGGCUCUGCCUGCUUCAUUGAUUCACGCUGCAUGUGAGUCUCUCGGUCUCAUCUUCUUGUUAAGGUUGAGUUUUAUAACACAGAAUGAGAUGGUUUUUAUGUCUGAGUUUCCAUUGAACAUUUAUUGGAAUUUCAUCCUCUACGGAUGUUGAUUCUACAAACGUGCAUUUAGAACUACCCAAAUUGUUUAUACAAAUAGAUGAGGAAUACAAAUUACUUUUGCCAUGGACUUAAUCCUGUGCUCGGUCUGGCUGAAGUCAUUGAUACUGGAACACUGGACACUCCACCUCGCUUCUUUAAUCCGAAAGUUCCUUGUCUAUAGAAAGGGAAUGGCAGGAGCAUUUACAAGUUAGCCCCGGGAAAAGCGUUCGGAUGAUUAAUCUCCCUUCCUUUCAACAGUUUUGUCUGUCCAUGCAGUCCAAUCAAACACUCAGGGUUUCACGUAAAAUGUUUCACCUGAGGAAUUUGCCCAAGGACAAUGAGCAGUUUCAAAUCAUAUCGCUGCUCCUCCCCCCCACCCCACCCCAAACACACACCACGUGCCUUCCAGUCGCAAGUAAACUGAACACUCGUGAGCAGGUAAAGGGAUGGCAGGAAAAGCAGCAACCAAAUCACUGGCCGGAGAUCUGGGAAUUGCAAGAACUCAGCUCUGAAAGGGGCUUAGGGUACCAACUUCCGGUCACAGGAGCAAGCCUUUCCAGAACUCCAGACAGAUGGACUGCCACCUCUUUCUUAAAAGCUGAGCAUGGGGAAGUGCCUACUUGGAAGCCAGCUCACUCCCUCUCCAGAACAGUGUUGACUUCUGCAGAGCGAGAAGUGGCCUUCAGGUUGAAGCCAGUGCUAUCUCAUUGGGAUUCUGCUCACACUGUGAGUGCAGAGUCGCUACGUGGUUUCGGGUUCAGCCUACAUGGACCUGUGUGAACUAAGGCUCAAGUCCCUGUUGUCUAUUGGCAUCUUGGCCUUCAGAGGCCUUCAGAGGCUCUGCUUGCCCCUGUUCUUCUCCUACUCAAGGAUCGAUUUCAGGAAGACACAGGAACAUUAACUAUUUCACACACUUAGGUCCCAGGAGAGGAUUUACUGUGUGAGGUAUAGAUAAGUCUGUGCGAUUUAGUGUGGCUUUUUAGUAUUUCUUUCUGUUCAUCUUCGAAAUCUUCAGAGCCAUAAAUACAGCUGAGAUUAGAACUGGGUUGAGAUGAAUGGGAGAAAGAGAAGCUAUGUAUGCAUUGUUAGGCAUGCUGGUUUUCCUGAAGAAGGAGUCUCCUUCAGAGAACCCCCAGGUGGUCGUAAGAGGUUAUAUUUGCCCUGGAACCAGUGAGGUGAAGAUUGGGGAGUGGAAGUUGGAAUUCAGAGACUUCCUGAGUAUGCAUCCAUCAACCUCUCCAGACAUAUCUGGGCUGGGAAGUGGCAAGAACAACUCCCUGCUACAAAUUCAUAAGGAUAAGUUCUAUCGUUGGAACCAGAUACCAGGCAGAUGGCUACCACUAAGGUACUUAAAGGAACUCGUGCUUUCUUAGGUAAAGACGUCAUCUUCCGUCUACCGUUCUUGUCUUCAUACCAUAUGCUAGACUCUCGCUGCUGCCUAAACCCAAGCAUGUCAGUAUCCUCAGUAAUCCAUAACUCAUGGAAUUAAACUCUUCAGGAAGUGAGGAUUUGAUUGGAAGCAGUGCCCUUUCUUACAGAUACCGUACUAUAGAUGUGCUGACUUUUUGCAUUCAUAUAACAUUUAGGAGACACAAAAUUACCUAAAACCUUGUUAACCUGACAAAAUCUGCAUAUCCUUUAAAGCUCUACUCAAGCUGAGACACUUCCCGUCACCGGAUUCUCUUCUUGAAAUACGUGCUAGGACGGCAUGCUGUGUUUAUUCCCAACCCUAGUGUCUCUGUCCCAGAGCUAACCCUGCUGCAGCUUCCUCGGUGGGAAGAAACAUUCAUUUCAGAGUGCACGGCUCUCGUGUCAGCUGAGAUCGUCCAGUAAAAGUGAAUGAUAUUCCCUUCAUGCCUUACGGGCCAGUAGUGUCCUAUCCACAAAAAAUAUCAAAAGUCAGCAGCCAACACGAUGGGUGUGCAAGGCAAGUGCAUUUCAUUUGCUUGCUGGAAAUGCAUGCAUUAUUUAACCAGCCAGGUGUAGUCGUACGCACCUUAGUUCCAGCAUUCAAGAGAUAGAAGUGGGAGGACCAGGUUCAAGACCAGCGCUGGCUACAUAGUGAGUUUGAGGUCAACACGGUUUAUCUGAGAUCCUGUCUCCAAAACACAAAUAAUAGUAAUAGUAACAAUAGAGGAAAAAAACGCAGCUUGCCCAUAAAAUUAGAGAUGGCUAGCUUUCUUAAAUAUCAGAAUGGUUUUGGCUAUAAGCAAAAUAAGUUUGGACUCAAAAUGUAUCUACAACAAGGUAUUUGGAAGGACUUACAUGGUCUCACACAAGAUGAAGUCUUAAGUGUCCUUGAAUUGAUUGCUCUAUGUCUGAAUGUGCUAUUGGGGUCUGGCUCCUUUUUGUUUUUCUUGCUGCUUGGCCUGUUAAUGUUGGUGUCACUCUCUAAUGGCACAAAGAGAUUAUAUCUAGAUGGAGCCUCUGUUCAGAAAAGGAGAAAACGGUUGCUUUUUGACCUUUCUUUUAGGAGAAAAAAAAAAUCUAUUCCGGAAGCUUGCUAAGGAUAAUUUUUUUUUUCGAAGAUUUCUGGGAAGGCUUACACAGGAACUCACGAGAGGUCAAAGUGCAGAAACCCAGUGCCUGUGCUGUGCUCAGCCAUAAAUAGUGCAUCUGCUUCAUACUCCCUCUCUCCAAGGCUCGGGGCCAUCGUGGAAGAGGGAGUGGAAAGAUUAUCAGACACAGAGGUCAGGGAGGACCUAGGGGAAACAGGGACGAGUACACAAGUGGUUACACGCACCAGAUCAAGCCAGUCAGCAUCCCAGCAGAGAGCAAAGCCACCGAUACUUGACGGCUGCUAUGGGAGGAAAAGGUAGCUUUCUUAAAGGGCACGGCCCCUGUUAUCCUGACCAAGCUCCAGUGGAUGACUCCAUAUUCAUGAGCGUAUGAGCAACCCAAAUUGGACUGGGUGAGUUGUUGGGGAAAAGAACAUGAAAUUUGGAGGGAUGUUAGGCGUUGGGGGGAUGGGUCUUAGGGGAGUGGGGGAUGAGUGUGAUCAAAAUACACCGCACACAUGUAUGAAAUUCUCAAGGAAGUCACAACAUACUACAUUACUUUACAAAGAAAGGUGCUCUAGAUAGGGUUUGAGGCAUGCGCUUGGUGAGGAGAGGGUUUGUCACACAAGACGAGGGCCUGAGUGCAGAUCCCUAGAGCAGCAAAAAGAUGAAGGGAAUAAAUGUGUAAGCACUCCUGUGGCAAGAUGGGUGGCAAAGAACAGAGCAUCCCUCUUCCCGAGAAUCUUACAGGCCUCGAGCUCAGGGCAACCAAAAACAAAGUGAGAGAGCCUGUCUCAAAGAAGGUGAAAGAUGAGGACCAAGACCCAAGCCUGUCACGUGACCUCCACGGACACACAGACAGACUCACCGGGACAUGCUAAUGUCUGCACACAAAUAGACAUACCACUAAAAACUUUAAAAUAAAUUUUAUGGAACAUACUGUGUUUAGCUAGAGGUGGCGGUGUGUGUCUAUAAUCCCAGUACAGGGGAAGCUGAGCCAGAAGGAUUGCUAUGAAUUUGAGGGCAGCCUGGGCAACAUGGUGAAUACUAAGCAAGCCUGGGCUACAGUCUAAGAUCCUGUCACAAAAAAGUAAUAAAAAAUGUUAAGAUACGGUAUUUAUAGUAUGACCAUUAGAGUUUUCCAAAUACUAAAUACGUUAUGAGUACAUUGUCAGUUAAUCUUUUUAAACAGAGAGCAAACUUCAAGCACAAUUGUAUCAUUUGUUUUGUUUUAUUAGCAGAGUUAGUCUGUUGUUUGUCCAGAUGCAAUAAAACAAACGGUUUUAUCAAUGAAAUCAGGGGUCUAGACUCUUUGUAGAAUACUAAAAAAACUCCAGGACAGCUAUGGCUACAGUGAAACAUAGACAGCUUAACAGUUGUCUGAUAAAACUUAAUGUGUCACUUAGUCUGGAGCUGUAACCAUUACACAAGGACAGAAAACCAAAAGAAAUCAUGCAAGGGUGAGAUUUCAGUCAUCCCUGAACUGUCCCCAGGGAGCAGGAAUUGGGGCAAGGAAGAUGUCACCCUUUUUAAAGUUAUCUGUAGUAGAAUAAUAGCAAAGACAAAAUAAAACAGGACAGCCGUGCUUUAAUUGGGCGAGACUGAUAUCUACUCUGCAAAGCAAACCAUCCUCUGUAUUUUGCCACACCGCCCUUUCCAGUCUAAAACCCCUGCCACCCUCAGUUUUGCUUCCCUGUGUAUCUGUCCUCAAAUAAAAACUCCCCACGUAUCAAGGGCUCACAUUUAUACACAGCGCCGUUGUAACAACCAGAAAGAAAAUCUGCCAGUAAAGAUGAAAUCAUAAUAAAAUUGUUUUCUUCUCUGGGUUAAAAAACUUACAUUGUGAAGGAUGUAUCCCUUACUGACUUGGUACGGGUUUUAAACUUACCGGUACUGUUUGCAGCCGAGGUAAGGAUGCUACAGCCUCGGCCUGGAAACCUCUGUCUUGGAAAUUCUACUCAGUAUGAAAGGCUUCUGCAUAGGACACAAUGGUCCUACAUCAGUGUCAGAUGGUCUCUGGAAGACUACGGUCAACCAAGACAGACUUGGCACAUGAUGCUGCCAUGUUCCUGGACACACAGCUGAGGCUGAGCAGCUGGUUUGACGCUAAAUGCUAGCUAGCUAGGUUCUAACAAGUAAUUACUAGUAAAGGUUUCACAUGUGAAGGAACUGCCAUGCUACACAUAAGCUCCUGGAAGGCGUCUGCAGUAAUAUUUUAAGUGAAUUAUUUUGAAGAAUCACCAAUAAGAAUGAAUGACUUAAUCAUUGGGGCAUCUCUAAAACAACAGGGUUCAUAAUUGAUAGGGGAGUUCAGCCAAUCACAUUCUGUCCGUGGGGCGUGUUGCCCUAAGGCAAAAAUUUACCUAUAAACCAGGCAGGUACGCUUCCCUGCGCUCUCUUGCUUGGCUCCUGCGUUCAGGAUGGACCGUUGGGACUCUGGUGUAAGUUUUCCUUCUGUUUAUUUAAGCUGUAGCUUUUGUAUUAAGCUUGUCUGGCUGAUCUUUAAUUACCGAUCGACCUCGCCUCUUCACAUAAUCAUGAAAGUAGAAGGAAACACAUUGAAAGGAGCCCAGAUCUUCUAAGUGAAGACUUUAAAGUGCUGAAGUAUUGAAAAUCCAACCUGCUGAGUCAAAUUGUGUUACAUAGACGCAUACAUACACACGAACGUGCACACACACACACACACACACACACACACAAACGGUUUCAGGGAUGACUGCUUUGGGUCUGACAACCAAUAAGGGGCCAUUCCCUGGGAGAGACUGGUUCUCCUCCCAUAUACAUGUAUGUACAAAUGUAAUAAUCAAAGCAAAAGAGGUUUUUAGCU